AGUGUCUAGUUUAAGAGAAAAAUGAUAUAUAGUUUUUCCUUAGAGCUAGAGUUCUGACAGUUUCUUCAACUUGUAUUUGUUUUUAGUUUACUUCUUCAUGGUGAUGGGUCUGGAGACACAGCUUCAAUACAUACCUCUGAAUAGUUGGAGAAAAAAAUUAGCACUAGACAGUUGAGACAAGUAGUAAUCUAUUCUCAGAAGUGAAGGCCAAACACCAACCAGCUACCGAUAGGAGAUUUAAAGAAAGACUCCAGAGAGCUGUUCUGAAUUGUCACUUGGGUUCAUCCAGGCAUCCCUCCAGUAGUGCUGGAUUCCAAUAGUUGUGGAAAUUACCAGUUUUCCUGUCUGCAGCUGGUGCCUGAGUGGUAUUCUUGGAGAACUCAUGAUCCGGGCAUUCGGCUUGUCACGGAAUUUAUGGAAAGCCCUAGUCCAAUGUCCU
rnacentral:lncRNA from 1 species